AAUAAGUAAAUAAUUUGUGUAUGUACCUAAGAAGGCAAAUAUGUAAUCUAGUCAUUAUAUUAUCUUUAGUACGUAUUUAUAUCUAAGCAGUUAUAAACUAUGAGUAAAAGUUUUCAGAUUAAUAUGUUGUUUCUAUAAACAUUUAAAUUAUGUAAUAAUGAGGAUCUUCUAUACAUUCGUACAUUUUUUCCUUCAAAAUGUGGUAUAUCAUUUCAAAGUAUCACUAUACUUUUACAACAUUAGAAAUUUUCAAAUUGUUAGUAUUCACAUCCAUUUUAUAGUGGAUCAGCUUUGAUUUUUGUUUCUAAAACUAAUGCUGUGAGAAAAAUAAUUUUUUUUUUCCUCUUAAAGCUUUAUUGGACAUUCGUUGGGCAAUUUAAUAAUUCGUUCAGUGCUUACAAGGCCAAGGUUUAAAUAUUACCUCAACAAACUUCAUACCUUUCUGUCUCUUUCUGGACCUCACCUUGGUACACUCUACAACAGCAGUGCUCUUGUUAAUACAGGUCUCUGGUUUAUGCAGAAAUGGAAAAAAUCAGGUUCGCUUUUGCAGCUGACAUGU
rnacentral:sRNA from 1 species